AACGCAAAUUGCACUCUUCGGUUUUUCCGAGAGUAUGCCUGUUUGAGGGUCGGUAAAAUGAAAUAUCGAUUUGUUGCUUAUUGCAACAUUUCGGAGUUGGAUUAACUUAAUAUUCUUAAGUGGCCUAAAAUUCAUUACCUCGGUAUGAUUAACGUUCUUAAUGAUUUCGUUUUGAAUGCCGAAUUUCUUAUUAGACGGUGACUAUUUUAUAGCAUCACUUCUAUAAUUUUUGAAUUUCGACCUCAAAUCAAGUAAGAUUACCCGCUGAACUUAA
rnacentral:misc_RNA from 1 species